rnacentral:rRNA from 1 species
UACCAGCACCCCGAGUGGUCGGGACGUUUUAUUGGGCCUAAAGCAUCCGUAGCCGGUUCUACAAGUCUUCCGUUAAAUCCAACUGCUUAACAGGUGGGCUGCGGAAGAUACUAUAGAGCUAGGAGGCGGGAGAGGCAAGCGGUACUCAUGGGUAGGGGUAAAAUCCGUUGAUCCAUUGAAGACCACCAGUGGCGAAGGCGGCUUGCCAGAACGCGCUCGACGGUGAGGGAUGAAAGCUGGGGGAGCAAACCGGG